ensembl:ncRNA F39D8.7 ncRNA
CUUUGACUGCAAAUUUUUUAAACUUAUGAAAAAAAUGUUUUAAGUGUUUCAUGGUGUUUUAAAAUUAUGCAAUAUGAUAAUUUUGUCUAGCAACAAUUUUUACUGGCGAGGGGGCAGAUAGCUCAAUCGGUAGUGGUGGCCGCUAGCAGUCUGGAGGUCACGAGUUCAAGUCCGGCCUCACCCCCUAGGUUCGCCCAGCCUCUUUUGGGAAGUGGAGCAAUCCAC